rnacentral:rRNA from 1 species
UACGUAGGGUCCGAGCGUUGUCCGGAAUUACUGGGCGUAAAGAGCUCGUAGGUGGUUUGUCGCGUUGUUCGUGAAAACUCACAGCUUAACUGUGGGCGUGCGGGCGAUACGGGCAGACUUGAGUACUGCAGGGGAGACUGGAAUUCCUGGUGUAGCGGUGGAAUGCGCAGAUAUCAGGAGGAACACCGGUGGCGAAGGCGGGACUCUGGGCAGUAACUGACGCUGAGGAGCGAAAGCGUGGGGAGCGAACAGG